rnacentral:tRNA from 1 species
GGAGAGGUGUCCGAGUGGUUGAUGGUGCCGCUCUCGAAAAGCGGUUCUCGAUUGUAUCGGGACGUGGGUUCGAAUCCCACCCUCUCCG